CGCUUCUAUAGUCGGCGUAAGAAGAAUUGAGCGUAACUUUUGCACACGGUGUCCGUUUUGGGCCCAUAAGUACUUUUUGGAAAUGUAGCGACCCUUUUGGAUUGAACUCACCACUUCGUCGUGACGUAUGAGGGAUUUCGGCCAUUUUUCGAAAGAACGAGCACUUGAAUAUUUGGAACGCUUCUAUAGUCGGCGUAAGAAGAAUUGAG
rnacentral:lncRNA from 1 species